GCUAGUGUCUUUGGCUGUCUGAAUGGCUAGUUCCCUCGCCUGUCCCUAACAUUUUGCUUUCCUGCCUCUUCAACCAAGCAGGGGAAGAACUUCUCAAACAAUUCUGCCUUGAGACCUGGAGAUGGGAUUUGGUGCAUUGUGACAAGCUUCUCUUAGCUUACACACAGAGCUGCUGCCCCCAUGGCUCCUGCUCACCACCAUUACUUGUAUAUCUCUACUUCUGAGACCAUGCUAUGAUCUGUACCUUCUCUGUGUGUGUAUCAUAUGGAAAGUCCCUAAGAAUGAAGACCGCCUCUAUGGUCGGUGAAGCCUGAUAUCUGCUCCAAUAUGCUGGGGCCUAGUUCCAACUUAACAGAUAUUGCUUCUGGCAAGAUUUCCACGCCAUCUUCUCCCCUACUGGUUAGAGUCCCUCACGAGUGGCCCCACAGCAUGCUGGCACAUCACUCACGUUCCUGGCAGCAAACAGAAGACCUGGUCUAAACGGGUCAUGGAGAGAACUUCAUGAUGGACUAUUUUCAAAGAUAUGGGCAGGAUUACAGAAACCCAACAGGGGAAGCUAGAGCACCCUUGGCUAGGCAUCACGGAAACCAUGAUCAUUUCUAGGCCUGAAGGGACAAGAAGAGGAAGGAGUGCCUGGAACCCAGAGAAGGCUCCUGACAGAAGCUUUGUUAGAGGAAGUCCUCCUUACUCCCCUCCCAUUCUUCAUCUCCUGUUGGAGCCUUCUGCUGGUCAACCCUAUGGGAAGCCAGGAGGUGAGGUUGCCCUUUGGUACUGUUCAUAAAGCUCAGCAUCCGGAGGUCUAGAGCAAGCUGAAGAAUGCACCUGAGGGGUAGACUGAAGAUACCAGCACCCCAGCUUACCUCUGUGCAGUACCCGCCCCCGGUGUCGUCUUGCCUGCUGCCAUCUUGGUUUCCCACAUGCUCACAGAACAUCCUUGAAAUCGGAAACUGUGCCUUAUCUCUUUGGGGGAAAUACCUCCAGGAAAUAACUGGAUGGGGGAAAAUCAGUAAUGUGUACAUUCAUAUUUACAACACCUCUAUAACACUGGAGAAUAGAAAUGCCCCCAUGUGUGAAGGAAUUUGGCAAACCAGCCAGGAUGAGUCAUUAUACAGCCAUGAAAGACUCUCGCACAGACUCUUUUAACUCCUGUAAGUGGGGGUGGAGAAUAAUAAAUGACGAAAAGAAAUCACACUGAUUAUAAAUGGGCCAAAAUGUAUAGAUGUGGCUUGACAAGGAUAAGAGAUGAAAGGCACAUAUAUUCACAAUAAUUAAGAAAACUCACAAAAUGUUAAAUCCCACCGUUUAAGGGAAAACAGCAAACUUCUGAUAGAAUUUGUCACCAAAAUGAAUGCAAAGUAAUGAGAAUAGGAUUGUUCACAACAUUAAAAAAAAAAGGAGCGUGUGUGUGUGUGUGUGUGACAGCUUAUUUAAGGAGGCUAUAUUGGGGAAAGCCACUCUGCUUUUGUCAGCCCCCUCCAUGCCCUCCAAUAUUCUCAUUAGAUAUGAAGCACUUUUUCCGAUAUCCUGUGAAAUUGUUUGCUCAGACACAGCAAAGGGUCUUUGAAGUUUCUUGAACUUUAAUGUGUAUAUGAAUCACCUGGGGAUCUUGGUAAAAUGUGGUUCUGACUCUCCAGGUCUGAGUGGAGCCUGCAAUUUUGCAUUUCUAUCAAGAUCCCAGAUGAAGCUGAUGCUACCGGUUUCUGACCACAGUCUGAGUAGCAAGGCUUUAAAUCACUGGGAUUUGUUUGUUUUUUUGUGUGUGUUGUUACCUUUAAAAACUUACACUUGCUGUUGAUAAAUAUACAGUUUGUACUUCCUUGUCACCCACUUUUGGGAAUUGAAUAACGUUCUCCACAAAAGACAUGUUCAAGUCUUAAUCCACAUUCCUGUGGGUGUGAGCCCAACUGUAAAUAGGACCUUUAAAGAUGUUAUUAGGAGUUCACCCUAAUUAAAGGGUGAACUCAUUUGUGACUAGGAUCUUGGAAGAUCCUGUUUAGAUGGGGCCAAAGUGAAUCAGGGUGGGCCUUGAUCCAUAUGGCAAAGUGUUUAUAAACAGGAAACCUAGACAGAGAUGCAAACAAAUGAGCAGGAACAGGAGAAGCCAUGUUGUGGGAUCAGAGUUGCCAGCCAAGGAACCCCGGGGAUUGCUGGCAGCCAGCACCACAAUACUACAGACUUUGGGAGAAAGCAUGGCCUGUUGAGAACUUGAUUUUGGACUUCUGGACUCCAAAAC